rnacentral:rRNA from 1 species
UACACUCCUGCGGGAGGCAGCAGUGGGGAAUUUUGGACAAUGGGCGAAAGCCUGAUCCAGCCAUGCCGCGUGCAGGAUGAAGGCCUUCGGGUUGUAAACUGCUUUUGUACGGAACGAAACGGCCUUUUCUAAUAAAGAGGGCUAAUGACGGUACCGUAAGAAUAAGCACCGGCUAACUACGUGCCAGCAGCCGCGGUAAUACGUAGGGUGCAAGCGUUAAUCGGAAUUACUGGGCGUAAAGCGUGCGCAGGCGGUUAUGUAAGACAGUUGUGAAAUCCCCGGGCUCAACCUGGGAACUGCAUCUGUGACUGCAUAGCUAGAGUACGGUAGAGGGGGAUGGAAUUCCGCGUGUAGCAGUGAAAUGCGUAGAUAUGCGGAGGAACACCGAUGGCGAAGGCAAUCCCCUGGACCUGUACUGACGCUCAUGCACGAAAGCGUGGGGAGCAAACAGGAUUAGAAACCCUGGUAGUCCC